GGACUACCCGGGUUUCUAAUCCCGUUCGCUACCCUAGCUUUCGUGCCUCAGCGUCAGAAAAGAUCCAGUGAGCCGCUUUCGCCACCGGUGUUCCUUAGGAUAUCAACGCAUUUCACCGCUCCACCCUAAGUUCCGCUCACCUCUAUCUCCCUCGAGCACGGUAGUUUUGGGCGCCAUUCCUCGGUUAAGCCGAGGGAUUUCACACCCAACUUUCCGCGCCGCCUACGCACCCUUUAAGCCCAGUGAUUCCGAAUAACGUUCGGACGGUUCGUCUUACCGCGGCUGCUGGCAC
rnacentral:rRNA from 1 species